CAAGUGAGGAAUGGGGAAGGAGGGUGGAGGAAGGAGCUUGUAAAUGAGCAGCUGGUUUGCAGCAAAACCGCACCUCACUCUGCACCUUUGGAUCCCUCUCAGCCUGAGGUUAGCACAGCCAAUGUCCUCACCAGCGUCUGCCAAAGCCCAUGGAGAAGGCCAGCAGGAGCAUAUCACUGUGACUUACAACCCUUCUCUAGUCUGCUACAAUGGAAUCUUAAACAAGAAAAUUUUAUAUUUUGACUUGCAUCAUUGAGAAAAACACUGCCAACCUGAUCGUGGUUCCUUUGAAGAGCAUGGAAGGAAGCAAUGAAAAAAGCCUCACUCCUGGUUGCACACCUGGGAUUCUGUACCUGACGGACACCAUCCAUCCUUUUAGAUGAUGCAUUGAGUCCUAACUAUUCCCUUCCCAAGAAAGUUCAAGCCAGGAGAUCAAUCUGCUUGGGAUGGAAAGAAUCACUGCAGCAGGUGCGAGAGAGGACUCAUGGAGCUUGCAGAUGAGCUAGCCCAGUUUUUAGAGUACUUCGUCCACGGCGCCAAGGUGUCUAGGGCAGAGACACCACAACCUCCUAAGGAGUGUUACCCGUGAUGCCAGGUGCAGGUGAAAGAAGUUGGAAUUGAAAAGAGCAGCAAAAAAUGUACUGCUUUUUAGUGCAUAAGAUCAUGAAAAUAUUGCACUGUGAGGGGAAAAGGUUGGUUUUCAGAGUUG
rnacentral:lncRNA from 1 species